AAUUAAUAUGUCAUAGGUAAGUAACAGCAAUGAGAAUUCCAACAACAGCUUACUGUUUGUGUUUUAAAAUCUUUCCAUGACAUUAACAUGCAUCCCCUACACUUCUAUUUUAUAUGUACAUCUGCCUGUCUCGUAUAAUUAGAAUUAAGAGGAAGAAUUAAGAAAAUGCUGGGUCUCUCUCUCUGAAGACCAUGUGAGGACACAAGAAGGUGGCCGUCUGCAAGCUAGGAAGAGAGAGCCCACCAGACAUCAACUCUCCCAGCACCUUGAUCUUGCAUUUCCACCCUCCAGAACAAGAAGAAAAUAAAUUUCUGGUGUUUAAACCAUCUAGUCCCUGACAGUUCAUUAUGGUAGCCCUAGCAGACUAAUUCACAGCCACUGGCAUGUUUUAGAAGAUGCAAAUGGUGAACAAAUGGACACAGUACCUGGCCAUCAGGAGUUUACCUUCUAGACCAAAGGCAGCAUGGGAAACACUUAGUAACCUCAUAUGAGACUAAUUAGUCACUUGAUUUAGGGUCAGAAGCUCCUUGCCCUCCAUCCUACUCUCCAAUUUACACUCUUAUUAUAGGAGAUACACGAAUUAUUUGUUUUUAAUUCCUUAUUUGAACAAAUGGACCAGUUGGAUCUCCUUACCUCUCCCACUUUCUGUAAAAUUCUGGGCACCCAAGAAACCAAGUCUGAGUCCUUUCCCCCUUGACAUGGUGGAAGGCUACUCCAACUAGGCAGUGAGGAACACACAUACAUGCUUCUUUCUACAACUGCACUCUAGGAACCCAAAUUUAAGUCUUACCUUCCUCCAUUUUCUCAGCUCUGGUUGCAAAAUCAACACUGUGAGCACCUUCUGCCAUUCAAGUCUUCAGAAGAACAAAGGAACCCGUCUGGAGUCAAUGCCAUCUACCAUAUCCUCCCGAAGGCAGCCUUCUCCGUCUCAGAGACAAGGUUAUGGUAACCAAGCCACACACCAUCCCUGCUCUUUUAAAAUCACACAAAAGAGCAAUAAUUUGACUUCUCUCUUGCAACUACAAGAAAAUGGUAAACUACCAAGAUAAACAGCCUAUUUUAAAGCAAUCAAUAAUUCUGUUCACAAAUAGGAUUUAAGCAAUACAAUAUUCUUUUUUUUUGUAUUAAAUUCUUUUAUUGGUACAUUGUAGGUAUACAACACAAUUACAUUUCUCAUUGGGAAUUGUACCUUUAUAUAAUGCAUCUUGGUUCUUGUUUUUUCCCCAUUCCUAGCCCUCCCUUCACCCCCUCCACCCUUCCCUAUUUACAAAGACUUUAUUUCCAUUUUUUCCAUUUCUCAUCAUUUUUUCCUUUCCCUUCUUUCCUUUCCCCUGUGCCUCCCACUACCCCUACCCCUUUGGACCUUUUCUUCCUAUUUUACAUUAUCGAUUAUUCAUUCUAAUCAUUGGUACAUUUUAGGUAUACAAUAUAAUGACAUUCAUCAUUGGAAAUUUGCACCUUUACAUAGUCUCUCUUGGUUCUUAUUUUUCACCCUUGCCCAGCCCUCCCUUCAACCCCUCCAGUCCUCCCUAUUUACAAAGAUUUUGUUCCUAUUUUUCCAUUUUCUCAUAUUAAUCCCAUUCCCUUCUAUCCUUUCCCCUAGCCCUCCCACUUCCUUCCCCUUUGCCCCUUUUCUUCCUAUUUCACAUGAACUAUUAUACAUUUAGUCCUUAUUUACACUUUCAGUUUCUCACACCAGAGAAACUAUUCGGUAUUUAUACAUGUGUGUCCUAUUUAUUUCACUUAAGAGAGCAAUACAAUAUUCUAAAGCAGAGAAUAUUGAAAAAUAAUAUAACUGACAAAAUUAGGGAACUGAUGGCAUUAUUGCAACUACAUUUUCUUCAGUACUGACUUAGAAUCAUUGUCAUUUUCUGUGUCUCAAAAGCCAAACACCUACGAAUCUUGCUGAUUAUGCUAGUGAUGUUGCUGAAGAAACUCAAGGAUAUAAGGCUUUCUUAUCAACAGACCUGUCCAUUCAAGAAAGCUGUUUCAUCUAAAUAUUUGUGCAGGAACAUAAUUUUGUGCAAAGUUUUUUUUUUUAAAGAAAAACAACAAACAAAAUAUUUAAGUACUAAGGCAAUGUAAUUACUGAGAUGAUCUAG
ensembl:lncRNA